UGAUUAUAGAUUAAUUGGUAAAUCAUUUAUCUUCCACGUAAAUGUUGUGGGUUCAAAUCCCACUAAUCGCA
rnacentral:tRNA from 1 species